rnacentral:rRNA from 1 species
AUUCCAGCUCCAAUAGCGUAUAUUAACGUUGUUGCAGUUAAAAAGCUCGUAGUUGGAUUUGUGGUGACAUGUGCGGUCCAAAAUGUUUUGGUACUGUCGCGUGUUGCCAUCCUUGGGUGGAACCUGUGUGGCAUUAGGUUGUCGUGCAGGGGAUGCCCAUCGUUUACUGUGAAAAAAUUAGAGUGUUCAAAGCAGGCUUAUGCCGUUGAAUAUAUUAGCAUGGAAUAAUAAGAUAGGACCUUGGUACUAUUUUGUUGGUUUGCGCACCGAGGUAAUGAUUAAUAGGGACAGUUGGGGGUAUUCGUAUUCCAUUGUCAGAGGUGAAAUUCUUGGAUUUUUGGAAGACGAACUACUGCGAAAGCAUUUACCAAGGAUGUUUUCAUUAAUCAAGAACGAAAGUUAGGGGAUCGAAGAUGAUUAGAUACCAUCGUAGUC